AUUUCAUUGCUGAGUGAUACUGCAUUGUACUUAGAAUCAUCAUACCUGAAUCCACUCAUUAUGCUGCUACGGGCCUGAUGACAUAGAUUUCAUUGCUGAGUGAUAUUGCUUUUUAGAAUCAUCAUACCUGAAUCCACUCAUUAUGCUGCUACGGGCCUGAUGACAUAGAUUUCAUUGCUGAGUGAUAUUGCUUUUUACAAUCAUCAUACCUGAAUCCACUCAUUAUGCUGCUACGGGCCUGAUGACAUAGAUUUCAUUGCUGAGUGAUAUUGCUUUUUACAAUCAUCAUACCUGAAUCCACUCAUUGUGCUGCUACGGGCCUGAAGACAUAGAUUUCAUUGCUGAGUGAUAUUGCAUUGUACUUAGAAUCAUCAUACCUGAAUCCACUCAUUGUGCUGCUACGGGCCUGAAGACAUAGAUUUCAUUGCUGAGUGAUAUUGCAUUGUACGUAAGUACCACAACUUCUUUAUCCAUUUUUCACUUUCUGCGAUAUUGUACUUGUACCGUAAACAAGGUUCUUGUAAACAGA